UACGUAGGGUGCAAGCGUUGUCCGGAUUUAUUGGGCGUAAAGAGUUCGUAGGUGGUGGCUUAAGUCUGGUGUUAAAUACCGAAGCUCAACUUCGGCAUGGCAUUGGAAACUGGGUCGCUAGAGUCCGUCAGAGGUAACUGGAAUUCCUGGUGUAGCGGUGAAAUGCGUAGAUAUCAGGAGGAACACCGGUGGCGAAAGCGAGUUACUGGGACGGUACUGACGCUGAGGAACGAAAGCCUGGGUAGCGAAAGGG
rnacentral:ncRNA from 2 species